CAUAAGAUAUGUUACACUCUCAGGAUCACGGAGAUAAACUAUUCCUCUUCCUGUUUAAAGAACUCUGUUGCUGGAUGAUCCAGGAGAAUAAGCCAGAAACCAUCAUGGAGAAGUUGAGCUCACAUAUGACUAGGAGGUCCCAGAAAGGAUCAUAUUAAGAAAAGAAAACCAGCCUCAUUUAAAGAGAAGAAAGGAUCUGUCACAGCCAAGAAGGGAAGCUUAUCAACUAAGGUGGAAAAAUAUUCUUCCAAACUCAGCAACUUCCAGAAAGAAGUCUCCAAUGCCUGUAGCUAUGGAAAUUCCUAGCUCAUCCUUCCCUGGGAAGCAGGGCUCAACAUCCCUUCUGACAUAGUAAUGUCCUAUUUUUUUUUAAGGGAGUAGGAUGGACAGUGAAUUCUUCAAUCAACAGGAUUAGAAACUUGAUUUUCACUUCCUGACAAAACCCUGUAACAAUUUAUAAACCUUCCAGAAUACUUGUAAAGGAAAGCAAUGAUUGCUACAGGACAGGACGGGUUCAUCCACAACAAGUCACACCAGACUAGCCUUCUUUGACCUUUUAAUCUUGUUCUUUAAUAGGGUUACUAGAUCAGAAGGUUGUCAAGUACAGUCCCCCUAGAUGAAAGCAAGCCUCCCUCACUUCAUCUUUAGAGACAAGAUAGAGAGAUAAGACCUGGACGAUAUACAGUAAGCUGGAUUUACGACUACUUUGUAAUGACUAGGUACAAAAUGAAGUGAUUAGAGGACCAACAUCAACUAUAUAAGGGUACUUGCAGAAAGGUGUCAUUAGUUCCACUCUUGGCCCAGUUGUGUUGACGUUUACAAAUGAAAUGGAGACAGGGAUGCCAUGUUUACAAAGCUUAAACUCAUAUGUGGCCUUCUACCCAUUCUACGCCCAGGAUCUAUGUACCCGCAUUUGUGGCAAUUACUGAAGAAGACAAAAAAUUUACUUACAGGGAGAAAGAGAGGAAGGGUUCAAAUUAGGAUUCAGACCAAUUUAGGCCAAGUCAAUGAAGUGAAAUCUUCAGAAUACCCAAAUGCAAAAGGGAAAAAUGUAAUCAGGAAAGUUAAUAAUGCUGACAUCAGGAGAAACAUUAAAAAUACUGGUGACAUGACCUCUUUUCCAAUCUAAUCAGCUUACACCAACUGUCAAUAUUAAACAGUCCUUGCAUGUG